UACGGAGGAUGUAAGCGUUAUCCGGAUUUAUUGGGCGUAAAGCGUCCGCAGGUGGCUAUACAAGUCUGCUGUUAAAGCGUGGGGCUUAACUCCAUACAGGCAGUGGAAACUGUAAAGCUAGAGUCUGGUAGGGGUCACGGGAAUUCCCAGUGUAGCGGUGAAAUGCGUAGAUAUUGGGAAGAACACCAGCGGCGAAAGCGCGUGACUGGGCCGGAACUGACACUCAUGGACGAAAGCUAGGGGAGCGAAAGGG
rnacentral:rRNA from 1 species